UGCUAAAAUGGGAACAGGUUGUGCUCUA
rnacentral:piRNA from 1 species